AAAGUACUCCCUCCGUCUGGAAUUACUUGUCAUCAAAAUGGAUGUGUCUAGAACUAAAAUACAUCUAGAUACAUCCAUUUCAAUGACAAGUAUUUUCGGACAGAGGGAGUACAAG
rnacentral:pre_miRNA from 1 species